rnacentral:rRNA from 1 species
UACGUAGGGUGCGAGCGUUGUCCGGAAUUAUUGGGCGUAAAGAGCUCGUAGGCGGUCUGUCGCGUCUGCUGUGAAAACCCGAGGCUCAACCUCGGGCCUGCAGUGGGUACGGGCAGACUAGAGUGCGGUAGGGGAGAAUGGAAUUCCUGGUGUAGCGGUGGAAUGCGCAGAUAUCAGGAGGAACACCGAUGGCGAAGGCAGUUCUCUGGGCCGUAACUGACGCUGAGGAGCGAAAGCAUGGGGAGCGAACAGG